GACCUUUGCUCAGUGGUAGAGCAUUUGCUUUGCAUGCGUAAGGUCCCAGGUUCAAUCCCUGGCAUCUACA